CCUACGGGUGGCAGCAGUGAGGAAUAUUGGUCAAUGGACGAGAGUCUGAACCAGCCAAGUAGCGUGAAGGAUGACUGCCCUAUGGGUUGUAAACUUCUUUUAUAUGGGAAUAAAAUGUUCCACGUGUGGGAUUUUGUAUGUACCAUAUGAAUAAGGAUCGGCUAACUCCGUGCCAGCAGCCGCGGUAAUACGGAGGAUCCGAGCGUUAUCCGGAUUUAUUGGGUUUAAAGGGAGCGUAGGUGGAUUGUUAAGUCAGUUGUGAAAGUUUGCGGCUCAACCGUAAAAUUGCAGUUGAAACUGGCAGUCUUGAGUACAGUAGAGGUGGGCGGAAUUCGUGGUGUAGCGGUGAAAUGCUUAGAUAUCACGAAGAACUCCGAUUGCGAAGGCAGUUCACUGGACUGCAACUGACACUGAGGCUCGAAAGUGUGGGUAUCAAACAGGAUUAGAGACCCUAGUAGUC
rnacentral:rRNA from 1 species